rnacentral:tRNA from 1 species
GGGGGCAUAGCUCAGGGGUAGAGCGUUCGACUGCAGUUCGACAGGUCCCUGGUUCAAAUCCGGGUGCUGCCC